GUACGGGAGGCAGCAGUAGGGAAUAUUGGUCAAUGGGGGCAACCCUGAACCAGCCAUGCCGCGUGCAGGAUGAAGGCCCUAUGGGUCGUAAACUGCUUUUGUACGGGAAGAAAUCACAAUACGUGUAUUGUGUUGACGGUACCGUGAGAAUAAGGAUCGGCUAACUUCGUGCCAGCAGCCGCGGUAAUACGAAGGAUCCAAGCGUUGUCCGGAUUUACUGGGUUUAAAGGGUGCGUAGGCGGGCUAUUAAGUCAGUGGUGAAAGCUUGCAGCUUAACUGUAAAAUUGCCAUUGAAACUGAUAGCCUCGAAUAUGGUUGAGGUGGUUGGAAUGUAUCAUGUAGCGGUGAAAUGCUUAGAUAUGAUACAGAACACCGAUUGCGAAGGCAGAUCACUAAGCCAUUAUUGACGCUGAGGCACGAAAGCGUGGGGAUCAAACAGGAUUAGAUACCCCGGUAGUCCU
rnacentral:rRNA from 1 species